UACAGAGGGGGCAAGCGUUGUUCGGAAUUACUGGGCGUAAAGGGCGCGUAGGCGGCCUGUUAAGUCGAACGUGAAAUCCCCGGGCUCAACCCGGGAACUGCGUCCGAUACUGGCAGGCUUGAAUCCGGGAGAGGGAUGCGGAAUUCCAGGUGUAGCGGUGAAAUGCGUAGAUAUCUGGAGGAACACCGGUGGCGAAGGCGCAUCCUGGACCGGGCAUUGACGCUGAGGCGCGAAAGCCAGGGGGAGCAAACGGG
rnacentral:rRNA from 1 species